rnacentral:rRNA from 1 species
UUUCCGUAGAUGAACCUGCGGAAGGAUCAUUAUUGAAUACUCGAUGGGUUGUAGCUGGCUCCUCGGAGCAUGUGCACGCCUGUCUUGACUCUAUUCAUCCACCUGUGCACCUAUUGUAGUCUCAUUUGCUAUGUCUUUAUUCACAAACCAUGUAGUAUGUUGCAGAAUGUAUUCAAUGGGCCAUCGUGCCUAUAAAACCUUAUACAACUUUCAGCAACGGAUCUCUUGGCUCUCGCAUCGAUGAAGAACGCAGCGAAAUGCGAUAAGUAAUGUGAAUUGCAGAAUUCAGUGAAUCAUCGAAUCUUUGAACGCACCUUGCGCUCCUUGGUAUUCCGAGGAGCAUGCCUGUUUGAGAGUCAGUAAAUUCUCAACCCCACCAGCUUUUGUGAGUUGGCACUUGGGGAUUGGAUGUGGAGGUUCUGCCGGCCGGUCGGCUCCUCUGAAAUGUAUUAGCGGAACCGUUUGCGAUCCGUCACAGGUGUGAUAAUUAUCUACGCCAGUGGGUUGCUCUCUGUCUGUUCAGCUUCCAACCGUCCUCCGGGACAAACAUAACUGAACCUUUGACCUCAAAUCAGGUAGGACUACCCGCUGAACUUAA